UUGAAAGUUUUGAGGAGCCCAAGGAUCUAUCUAGAUUGUAUCUAUCACCUAGAGGGGGGUGAAUAGGUGUAACAACCAAAAACCACAAAUCUCGAUGCAAUAAAAAUAAAUGCGGAAAAUAAAAAGCACACCGAGAUUUACGUGGGAAAACUCCAACUUGGAGAAAAACCCACGGGACCAACACGCGAAAAAAAUAAUUCACUAAGAGAAAAGAUUACAAGGUGAUUACCGACUCCACGGACUUAACCUCUCUUAACCUCCUAUGAAUCUUCGCGCUACCCUCCGGGUUGUCCACGCCCUCACGUCCGAAUCCACGAACGCCUCCACUUCGAAUCCACGAAGCUUCAAUCACGCCGAAUCCACGACGCCACUCGAAUCCACGAGCCCACGAUCCGAAUCCACGAACCGCCGUCAAAUACGCCGAAUCCACGACGCCGUCAUGAAGAGCAUCAUGAUUAUGGUGAUCCUUUGCUUAGGAGUAUCGUAGAAAACCAGGAAAAGAAACUCCAAGCAAAGCGGAGAUCAAAUCGGCAUAUAGAUAUCAAAUUACAAUAUUCCGAUUUGACCUAAAAGAGGCUAAUAUGUAGAAAAUAGGUUUUAGAUGAAAUCCGAGCCUCUAGGGUUUCUCAAAUAUGUAUUUUCGUGAUGCUUACUUUGUUAGAGAACCCCAAUAGCUUAUUUAUAGACUUUAGAAUCAAUCGGAGUCGAAUUAGAAAGUUUUCACGGUUUUACACUGUGUACCGGUACACGAAAGGCUGUCACCGGUUACACAAGGACGGAACAGAAAUACGAAGCCAAGUCAGUGGCUGUACCGGUACGCUCUUGAUUGCUGUACCGGUACACAAUGCAAUUUUUGGGAUUUUGCAUUGUUUCGAGUUCCGUACACUUCCGAAGCACUUUCUAAUCAACUAUACUUUUGAUUAAAUGAUUCUAAUGCCUAUAACUAAGUAUGAAUCACCAUAACAUGAAUUAAAACUUUACCUGAGCAUCGUGAUUCAUAUCGUGAGUUAUUUUCCAACUUCUUCGAAAUCUUGAAUUCUUCGAUCUUCGACGAUAUGUACCGGCAAUACAAAAUCCUUAACAAACUUGUCUUCCCUAUUUAAUACAAGUUUUUCUAGAUUUUGCUUGAUGAAACCCUAGAUUUUGAGAUUUAGGGUUUAUUUUGGGGAUUUUCGAUUUGAGGGCUUUGAAACCUAAUUGAUGGGUUUAGAACCUUUAUUUAGGUUGGAUUUGAAGAACUCUAACUCCCAUUUGGAGCUUGAGAGAGGAUUUCUUCACUUGAGAUGAGUCUCUCCACCUUAGCUUGAGGUGGUUAAUGAUUGAGCUUAGUGUUGUUCGUAAGGUUCGUUUGACUCUCUUUUCUAUACCUUUAGGGUACUAGUAGAGUGGUGGACACCUUCGUCGGAGCUUACGAAGGGUUUCGGUAACUUUGAUGGGUUUGACUUCAUGAAAUCAGGGCGAAAUGGCCCCUAAGUAUUCUAUACUUGUCGUAACGUCAUUUUGAUUGCAUAUUCAUGUUAAAUGAGAUUUAUGUGAAUUUUAGAACACUUAAAAUGCAUGCCUUAUAUAUCAUAAAAAUUUCACUCUAUAUAGUAGGGCAUUCUGGGCAUUUUGCAUGCAUAUGGGAAAUGUUCGUGUUAGCGACUUGGAAACAUGUCUCUUAUGUUAGAAUUUGCUUGAAUUAUGCAUUGUAAACAAUAAACUCAUGUUUGGACUUAGUGGAAAAAAAUGUCAUAAAGAGGCACUUGACAUAGUAAACUAUGAAACUGCAACAUAGAGACAUAGUGAUAGGCCAUUGAACAUCAACUAUAGUCCAUGUUAGAGACAUGAUGACAUAGAGAUAGGCCUUUGAGACAUUCGAAGUGUAUUCCAUGUUUUUAGACAUGAGGACUUGGUACUUGAGACAGAUCUUUCGCUUGCUUGCCAUUGUGCUCAUUCGCACAUGCUUGUGAGGGUCGCUCCUUACAAGCCGGCACUCCAGAGAUAGCCAUCGCGACAUAUGCUCGCUCGUGCGGGAUUGGGCGCCGAAAUGGGAUGCCGUGGGGGAGGCUCAUUCCUAGAGUGGGGAUGUUGACUACCACAGAGCCAUUAGGCACGGCGCAGGCCGGACUACCCACGGGUAGGUCCUACAGGAUUGGAUCAUUGAUGACUUAGUAUACCGACUGGACAUUGACUAAAAUAGUAAACAAGACAUUUUACUAUUUAGCUUGUGGACAUCAUGCUAGUGAUACUUUGGUACAUUCAUGUUAGAAUAGUCCUUUUAUUACUUAUGCAAAUUCAUGCUAAGUAGAGACAUCAUAUUGUAGUAAGUUUACAUGUUUAAUUACAUAUCGAUUCUAUUGCUUUUAUUGUUACUUACCUGUUUAGCUCUUUUGGGCCUAGUGAUGCUUUCACUGAAGUCAGUAAUUGCCCACUGGGAACUAUUAUUUAAUAGUUCUCACGCCCCCUGUUUUAUGAUUUUUCUUUCAGAGCCCUCUGCACCGGCGGAGGCACGGGAUCGCAGCAAGAGGAUCGCUAGCUAGAUAGCGAGGAUUUAUUGUUACUUAGGUGGUUUUCUCUCUUUUUGUUGUUGUUGAGAGAGAGUGAGGUUUUGUAUCCAUGUAUAGAGACCACCUAUGUAUUUACUUAUAGCACUUGUUUUGGGAUUUCUAUUGUACUACCUUUGAUUUACUUAUGGUGGAUGUUAGCUCCUUUACUUGUUUCCUCUUAUAGAAUCUAGAUAUUGUACUAUGCUCUGAUACUCCUAAAUGUCUUUUAUUAUUGCUUUAUUUACCGUUGUUUUAUAAACGCCUUAUAUGUUUUAGACGUAUGGCGAGUCUAGACACGUGCCGGGUGGGCUUCUGCUGGGUCCCGGGGCGUGACAACUAGUCUCUUAGCACCCUAAAGAUGUAGGAACAAGAGUUAAACGAACCUUACGAAUAACCAUAAGGUUGAUCAUUAACCAUCUCAAGCUAAGGUGGAGAAAAACUCACCGAAUGCGAAGGAAGCUCUCUCGAUCUCCAAAUGGGAGUUGGUGUCCUUCCAAAACAACCUAAACAAAGGUUCUAAACCCAUCAAUUGGGUCCCAAAGUUCUCAAAUCGAAAAUCCCCAAAAUAAACUCUAAAAUCUAAAUCUAGGAUUUCAUUUGGUAAAAACUACCAAAACAAGCUCCAAAGAGUAGAUUAAGCAUACUAACCUUCUUGGUAGCUCCAAACCAAGCUCAAAAUACUCUAUGGUUGAAGAUUGCUCCUCAAUCAAGCUCCUAGCCCAAGCUCCAAGCCUCCAAUGGUGAAGAAAGAGAGAAAGGGUUGAUGCUCCAAGCUUUUUCAAGCAAGCUCUUCCUAUCCUCCUUCUUCCUCCUUUUCUUCUUCUUCUCUUUCUAGAGGUAUGAGAGAGUGAGAAGUGAGGGAAAGAGAGAGGGGAAAUUAUAACAAACCAGAUUUUGGUAUAAAAGUAAAAAUAAAUAAAAAUAGUGUGAGAUACUAUUUUCAUUGGAUUUAGAGAAGUAAAACAUAAGUCAGAAAUGACUUGUGCUGAAAUCGGAAUGAAAACAGAAGAUUUAGAAUUUUCUGUUAAAAAGGGACAGAUAAAUUAGCAUAAAAUACAAAGUCUCAGAAAAUUAUGUAAACUGGAGGAUAAGCCAGAAUUAUUUUUAUGAGGCUAGAUUUAAAGUUUCAUGUCAUUCUGACACUCGGAAGGUGGAAAAUAAAAUCCGACAGCUAUCUGAUAAAAAUUACAGUUUGGUACAGCUUUCGGUGACCAAACGGGGUCAAAACUGAAAUAUUAAAACUUUUUUGGACUCGUUAAGUAAAACUGAACAUGACUAUCAAAUUUGAGCUCAAACGGAUGUUCCAGGAGUUCCGGCGAAAGAUAUCAGAUUUCGAACUACCCGAAAGUGAAUAGUGUUUUGGGGUGUAAUGUACAAAGAAGCUUUUUGCUUCUUCUUCCUCAGCCGACCACACCACCCCACAACACACGCACGCAUAGGAAGGGAGAGAGAAACUCUCCUUUCUCUCUCUAAAGAUCUCUCUCAUCUCUCCAAAUCUCUCUCUAAAAAUUUGAGGGUUGGUGGAGAGCGAGCUUGCGAACGCGUUGGAGACGUCGGUUCGAGCUCUCGUGCGGCCAUUUGAGCGGCGUGUUUUCGUCGUGGCAUUCACAUAGUGGUAAGCUUUUGGGAUUUGGCUUAAUCCUUAGCUUUAAGUGUUCUAAUAGCCUCUAAUGAGCAUUGUUAGCAUGUUUCUUCAUUUAAUUUGGAUUAUUUGGAGGUUAAUUACAUAUUAGGGCUCCGAAUGGAGUUUUGUAAAAUAGUAGGGUUUGAUCUCAUUUGGCCCUCCGUAAACCAAAUUGCUAGGUAAACGAACGCAUUGGCGAAGUCGGUUCGGCGAUUUGUCGAGCCGUUUUAAAGAUAUUAAAGAAACGGACGUUUAGGCUUCGUUUCCACCUGGAGGGCCGAGGCGACAUCGUAAAAUCAUGAAAACGAAUUUGGAGCACCGUGGCACAUAAUCGAAGACCUAUAAUUUUCGGAGUCGCGGUUCGACUCACGGUUGGUGAGUAUUAGCAAAAUCGGGCCGAACCGGACACGGGUGCCGCAGGAGGCCGAUUGUAAGUGUCGACAAGCAAUCGAAAAGCGAUUUGAGGUGGGUUGUGUUUACCGAAGCGACUAGGUCGCCUGUAUAUCUAAGGCGAGUGUUUAUCAUUGAUGCAUAUUGUGGUAGCUAGUGGUAGAAUGUAUAAAUGCAUGAAAUGAAUGCUAUGUUAGGCUACCAAAUAAUGCAUAUGGUCAUAAUGUGAGAAUGCUAAGUAAUGCAUAAUAACAUAGUAUAAAUAAUGCUAAGUGGAAAGCAUAAAGUAAAUGACAUAUGUUAGUCAUGUUCCAUGUAUAGAAAUGCUAAUGUAAAAAUGCUAAGUGGAUGCAUGUAGUAAAUGCUAAAGAAAAUGCAUGCUAAUGAUGUAAUAUAGAAAUGCUAGAAUGCAUGAUGAUGUAAUAUAAAUAAUGCUAGUUAAAAGCAUGAGAUAAAUGACAUUUGCAUGUUAACAUAAAGUAGAGAACAUGCUAGUUGUAAUGCAUAAUGAUAAGUUGUAAAGAAUGCUAGUUUGAAUAAGCAUGUUAUAUAAAUGCUAGAUAAUGCAUGUUAAUUAUCUAAAGUAAGAUACUAAGAGAUUGCACAUGAAGUGACAUAAUGUUAAUGUUAGAUGAUGCAAGCUAACAUAUAGAGGUUUAUGUUAGUGGAAAUGUGCAUAUGGACAAUCUAUAUACAUUAGAUCGAGUGGCAUUAAACCUAGUGUCUUGAACAUAGGUUGAAUUUGAAUGAUAUGAACUUAGUGUUAGUAAACCUAGGUCGGACAUGAAGGACAUAUGAACCUAGUGUGAAUAUACAUAGGUUGGACAUCAAGUGGCAUUGAACCUAGUGUUAAAGAACAUAGGUUGGAAUCAUGUGUGGCAUUUAAUCUAGCGUUAAAGAACAUAGGUUGGACAUGAACCUACUGUUAAAGAAAGUAGUUAAACAAGGUUUAACCCAAAGUGACAUUGUGGCUUGGUAUUAGCGGUAUAUGCAUGAUUAGGUAAAAACCUAUCAUUGGCAUUGAGGCAUAGAGAUAUGGAACAGGUUGGCUAUACCUCCUCAAAUUGAAGAUGGGAUCGUACUCACAUGUAUUGGUUCCGGCUUGUGCGAGGUCGCU
rnacentral:lncRNA from 1 species